CUAAGAAUCUUGCGAAUGGGCGAAAGCCUGACGCAGCAAUUCCGCGUGGGGGACGAAGCCCUAGGGUCGUAAACCCCUUUUGUGAAGGAAGCGGUACUUCACGAAUAAGACACGGCUAACUACGUGCCAGCAGCCGCGGUAAUACGUAGGUGUCAAGCGUUGUCCGGAUUUAUUGGGCGUAAAGCGCCCGCAGGCGGCUUGCCAAGUUUGAAGUGAAAUCUCCCGGCUCAACUGGGAGGUGCUUCGAAACUGGCAGGCUUGAGGCAGGGAGAGGGAUGUGGAAUUCCCGGUGUAGUGGUGAAAUGCGUAGAUAUCGGGAGGAACACCAGUGGCGAAGGCGGCAUCCUGGCCUGUCCUGACGCUCAGGGGCGAAAGCGUGGGGAGCAAACGGAUUAGAUACCCGAGUAGU
rnacentral:rRNA from 1 species